rnacentral:rRNA from 1 species
GUAGGGAAUAUUGCGCAAUGGGGGAAACCCUGACGCAGCGACGCCGCGUGAGUGAUGAAGGCCUUCGGGUCGUAAAGCUCUGUUGCAGGGGAAUAAAAAAAUGAAGGUACCCUGUGAGGAAGGAUCGGCUAACUUCGUGCCAGCAGCCGCGGUAAGACGAGGGAUCCUAGCGUUGCUCGGAAUCAUUGGGCGUAAAGAGGGCGUAGGUGGCUUGGUAAGUCAGGUGUGAAAGCCCAGGGCUCAACCCUGGAAGUGCAUUUGAUACUGCUGAGCUGGAGUGUCGGAGAGGUUACCGGAAUACCUGGUGUAGUGGUGAAAUACGUAGAUAUCAGGUGGAACACCGGAGGCGAAGGCGGGUAACUGGACGAACACUGACACUGAGGCCCGAAAGCGUGGGGAUCAAACAGGAUUAGAAACCCGUGUAGUCC